UACGUGAUCCUUAAGCGUUAUCCGGAUUUAUUGGGCGUAAAGCGUCCGUAGGCGGUUAGGAAAGUCUUUGGUUAAAUACCCACGGCUCAACCGGGGGGCUGCCAGAGAAACUGCCUGACUAGAGAGCGUUAGGGGCUGGUGGAACGAUCGGUGUAGGGGUGAAAUCCGUUGAUAUCGAUCGGAAUACCAAAAGCGAAGGCGUCCAGCUAGGGCGACUCUGACGCUGAGGGACGAAAGCGUGGGGAGCAAAAAGGAUUAGAUACCCCCGUA
rnacentral:rRNA from 1 species